CGACUGUGCCGCACUGCCCAUUAGGAAGUUUUACAGCGACCCCCCACUUCUCCUCCACGCCGAACAAGUUAGAGCGGAAAGCGCCGCACCCACGAGCAUCGACACACAAAAGGCGCAAGAAAAAAACCCGAUCAAAUGGCGGCGACGGCAGCGAGCACAACCGAGGCGAAGCCGUCUAUUCUCCAGACGACAGACGCACUCCUAGCCGUCCCUUCGAGCGAGACCGUGUGGUCGGCGUGGUACAAGGAGUCGGAGGACAAGUUUUUGGAGUUCAAGAGCUUCGAGCCGGCGCCGGCGAUGGGAGGCCCAGGCAACAUGUCCCGCGCCGGGUCUGUCCGCACGUUAUCGAUGCGGCAGAUCAGCGGGCAGUUUGAAGAGGAAGUGGCCAAGUCAUGGGAGGAGGACUGGGAGGACGAGGACGUGGAGGACACCUUCGAGCAUAUCAUCGGCCAGAUUUCACAGCUUCACGCCACCAAGGCCGCGUCCAAGUAGUGUGAUCAAGAGACGACGGAUGGUUGCGUCUGUGUCGGGGAUGCGAGGGAGGGGGGUGCUCGGUGGGGAGGGGGGGGCAUAUAGACGGAAACCAGUACCACGGCAAGUCGACAAAGCGAGUAGGACGCACGCCGACCCGCUUAGCCUCUGGGUGCUGCUUUCGUCUUCCCUUCCACCCUCUUUCGCCCCUUUUCUCUGCCAUGUCUCCUAUUAUGUUGCGACAUCUUUCCAGUUUCGAUCAUGUCAUCUGUGUGCGGCUUGCCCCUGGACACGUGGGCGCAUCUCUGUCGAAGGAUUCAAAAAAAAAAAGUGAUGAAAACGCAGCCGCGCGUUGCCAUGGCUGUGCGUGGGCGUGUUUCAUGCCUUUUGUCUGCGUGGCAGUUGCGGGUGCUGUCUGACCGGGUCAUGUCAAUCUCCUCGAACGCCUCCCGAUUUCCUCCUCCACAAGGGUGUGGGACAAGAAAAACGCGCUGCUUGCGGCUAACAAAGGAAUGCGCUGCCGUUGCUAUCGGUGGCCGACGACUGGGGCCAAAAUGGUGCGCUGGCUCGUUCAGUGCGGCAACUUAUUGUGCUAGUGCAUUUUGUUUGUUGCUUUUCAACACCCCAUCUCAUUGUAGCGUCUCUGCCGCUCCUUUUUCUCUCUCCGUCGCUCGCGUACUCUGCAUCUGAUCACCGCGCACCUCCCCACUCCCUCCUCUCUCCCCCACCACCACGCACUCACACGCCCGUGCGUGUCUGCGACAACCAUUCAACCCACCUUGGCCAACACUGCCAUGCAUGCCAG
rnacentral:misc_RNA from 1 species